UCCGACACGCACCGCCCCCGCCCGCGCCUCUGUGGCCUCUGAUUGGCUGCGGCCGGCUCUUAAAAGACGCGGCCAAUGGCUGCGAGCGCCAGAGGCCGGGGAGCAGGCGAGGUGUUGGGUGCUGGUCGGCUGUUAGAGCGCUGGUGGGAAUGGCAGCCGGGCGGGGAGAGCGGCGGCGCUCGGUGCCGGGUGGGUCGCUGCAGCCGGCUGCGGGGUUCGCCCUUUGUCUGCACCCUUCCAAAAUGGCUGCGGCCAGGGCGGGCGGCGACAGCUGCGCGGGCGCUCCCGGGGCCCCGGCGGUCAGUGAGGAGCAGGAGUCCUGGCAAGAAAACGCUUUCGGGGCGGAGAGGUGCGCAGAGGACGCCACGGACGCCACGGGUCAGCUCCUCUGACUUACAGCGGCCCCAAAAACAAAUUCCAGAUGGCAAAGCUCCUUGUUGGGACCUCACUGCAACUGACCCUCCCAGAAUCAUCGUCACUUCUGAAGAGACUUGCCACAGUCCGCACAGAUCCAGCACUGGGGAAUGAGGAAUGUGACAUUGUAAUUUUUUUUUCUUUCGUGCCUUGAAAGAGGCGUUUCCUACCAGCCCGUACUACCUAUACACACCAUCCCAGCACUUGGAAAGUGAAGGCAGAUUAAUAAGGAGUUCAACCUUGGUUAUAUAUUUAGUUGGAGGCCAGCUUGGGGUCUCAUGAGACACUUAUAUCAAAAAGGUGAGGUGAGGACUCUUCCUCUCUAAAGCAGGCUGCUCUCUAACUCUCAGCCUGUGUGCUGAUCCUGUCCCAGCCUUUUAAACUAAGUGAGUUAUAACUGCUAUACAACAAACCCCACCCUACCCCAGCUGUUCUCUAAGCAAUAGUCUAUCUAAGGAACUGUACACGUUGAAACCCCCACCCCCACCCACCCCCAAAAAAACAAAACAAAACAAAACACAGUGCCCUCACUUGCAAAGUGUGCUAGGGAACCCUUAGACAACAGAAAUUUUGUUCUUGAACAUCAGCCUCCAGGUUUGGAAAGCCAGUAAAAAGGAGGAGACAAUGAGAAAGCAGGUAGGGUGCUACAAGCCAGUGUAGGAUUGACACCAGGAACAGAAAUUCACAGUUGUGAAUAAAACCCAAGCGUCUUCUUCUGACACAGGAGAACACACUUGGGGCCAAGAGCAUCCUAAGCAAGUAGGGCACCACUUAGUGACAACCCUCCAAACCCAAAUCGGAAUUUUUCACUCUUGAUGGUUUGAAGAUUUUAAAAUGGACCAAACACUCAGCGGGUUCUUAGUCAUCCACUUGAUGCUGGUUAAUGGGAACCACCAGUUAGGUGUACAACAGCCUGUACCCCAAAACCCUUAGGUGACAGGAAGCAAAACAGUGAACACCUAUAGCAAAGCCCAGACUCUGAAGCUCACAGGCCCUCGGGUGACUGUUGAUUCCCAGUGCCAUACCCCUACCCUGCAUGUCCCUUGCUGCCAUGGUACUAAGAUCUUUCAUGAGAACAGGCAUUGUCCUCUCCAUAGGCUUGCCAGACACAUCUCCAGUGUGGUUCCAAGCCUCUAAAAGAGAAUGAAGCCUCCUUCCAUGCCUAAGCAUCUGCUGAUGACACAGCCCCUGAGCCACCAAGACUUAAGUUAUAGGUGUAGGUUUAGGGUCUGUGCCACCAAACUCUUCACUCCUUGCUGCAGUGCCCAGUAUGGGAGCCACAAUGCAGGCAGCUGUUUUCAAGUACACUGCCCUUAAGACUGGAGUGAGUGGAGCUGAAAAAUCUCCCCUCCUCAAAACCUAUAUAUAUGCAAGGGACAGUAGACACUAUUAGAGACGUAACCUUUGUCACUCUGGAGACAAAUUUCCUUUAAAUGUCUCUCCCUCUGAUACAUUGUCACAGGCCAUUACGACUUCCAUAGUUUGAAGCUGACAAUCCCAGAACUAGCGUUAAAAGAGAAAAGGAAGAAGAACCACUAAGUAUAAAGUAAAAAAACACCUCAUUUUGGGGCUGGGGAUUUAGCUCAGUGGUAGAGCGCUUACCUAGGAAGCGCAAGGCCCUGGGUUCGGUCCCCAGCUCUGAAAAAAAGAACCAAAAAAAAAAAAAAAAAAACCACCUCAUUUUGAUAGAAGCAGAGGACAACUUUUAGGAGUAGGUUCUCGCCACCGUAGGUUCAAGGGGUCAAAUUUAUCUCAGGCUAACAUGGCAACUACUUUAAUCUGCUUAGCCAUCUCACUGGUCCUCAAGAUGUUUGUUUAAUAAAAAAAAGAAGAAGAAGAAAAAAAGACACAGCCAAGGGAUAAGGUGAAGUGAUAGGAUAUGAGUUGAAUCCCAGCACCCACGUGAAAAUGCUGGGUGCAGCAGCAUGCAUCUGUAAUCCCAGCUAUGGAGAGGUAGGGAUCACAGUAUUCCUGGGUCUCACUGGCCCAGAAAGUGUAGUGAAACACCCUGUCUCAAGAAAUAAGAAUGAUUGAGGAAUACACCUUUAUACCUGAUGCUGACCUCUAACCUCCAGGCACUCACACAUACCAGAGAGAGAGGGAGAGACAGACAGACAGACAGACAGACAGACAGACAGACACUAGAUGGUAGCUGGAGGCCUGGAGCUGGUUCCUGCUUUCUAGGUGAAUGUGUCAGGCACCCUUAUCUCGUGGUGGCUUCAGCCAUCUCUGGACUCACCUGGCUAUGGUCUCUCUUCUAUUUUGUUUUGACACAGUGUCUUGUGUUGCACAUGCCAGUCUUGAUAGGCUCAUUCCAUCCUGUCAACCUGUCACAUAGCUGAUACCUCUGAUCUUCGAAUGUCACCAGUCCCUGGAUUUGGGACCCACAAAAUUCCAAGAUGAUUUCAAAAGGUUUUUAACACAUAAGAACUCCAAAGAUAUCUCCUCCAGAGAAGUUUAUUUGUGUUAUGAGUGGGUGUGAGUUGAGGGAAGGGCCAUUAUUCAUCCCUCUACACCGCUGUGACCCUGUAAGAAGAGAAAGCCUUAAAGAAGCCAGAAGACACUUGUUGGCCUAUCCAGUCUCUCAUGCUUGCACAGAAGCCUGAGGCAGCUAGAGUAGGACACAGGCCUAAGCAUCUGGACCAGAGUCCUCUUGCUGUCCUGCAUUCCCAAGCAAGUAACAGCAUUCAAGUAUGCCCUAGUCAAGACUCCUUUGCUUGGAACCAGGCUUGGGUGGCCACCAGUCUUAGGACUAAGGCAUUGCGUGCUCUCUGCAAGGCCAGAGAGGAACUAAGGUUAGAAGGCUACGUUCAUGGCUGGGUCUCACAAGCCAAGUCUCGGACACUAAAGUCCCUGGGCACUGGCAGCACUCUGUUCUCAUGCUGAGGUCAGCCAUCCUUCUGUCCACAUGUCAUACACAAAUGGACAUCAUGGGGCUGGUGCCUGCUCCUCCUGCUUUCUCCUUCUGAAACUGACCCCAGUCUCCAGAGCCAGCUGUCUACAAAACUCCAGAAUGACUCAUGACAACACUCUCUUGGCUGACUCCCACAAAGGACUAACUAUAGCUGCGUGACCGGGUUUACAGUUCAGCUCAGAGGAGCUUACUCAGAGUGCAUGGGGGAGCCCAGCCUGACAGCAUGCCUGCACCUGCCUUCCCGAGCCUGCACCUCCCCUAAGUGCUUCAGCAUCAGCCUCACUUCACAGAGAAAGCCAGCCACACCUCCUGCAAGGUGCAGUGUUGGUCUGCUCUAUCAGAUGGUUUCUAAUACAACUUGCCCCCCAUUCAGCUCAUGUGUCCAGUUUAUAAAACCCUAACUCAAUCUAGAACAGAGUACAGUGGUGUACAUCCCAGCACUUCAGAAGUGGAGGCAGAAAUUGUUCGAGACCAGCUACAUAGUGAUGUGGAGAGCAGCUGGUCCACAAAGAACUCUUGUCUUGAAAGAUAAAUAAAAAAUAAACAACAGAACCCCAGCAAAACUCAGCUCACGCCCCUGAAAACCUAGUGCCAUUACACGUUGAAUGAUCACAUUCAAAGCUUAGUGACUGUCAUGGCAGUGUUGGGAAGGACCGGGAGCUAGUGAGAUGCCUAAGUCACUGAGGAUGCACCCUAAAAAGAGCUUCGCCUCGCUGUGACAGAGGGCCUGACAAAAGAGGCUCAGUGAGGAAGAGCUUACUCUGGUGCAGCAUGGUGGAGAAGACAUGGCGGAGAACAGCCCAUGGACUGCGGUGUCCAGAGCCUGAGGAUGCUUGUAGCCCACAAGACAAGAAGCGAGGCCUGGCUGCCAUACUUGAAGGUCCACCCUCUGAGCAUCUACCUAGACUCCACCUCUGACAGGCAGCAGCGACUGGGGACCAAGUGUUCAAAUGGUCGGCCACUUAGAAUGUGAAACGCAAGUUGAGUGGUGACUUGAAUCCCAGCAGAAGCAGGCAGGCAGACAGGGUACACAGAGGACCCAGUUGCAUGUAAAAUAAAAAAUAAAAGGGGGGGGGGGUAGGGAUUUAGCUCAGCGGUAGAGCGCUUGCCUAGCGAGCGCAAGGCCCUGGGUUCGGUCCCCAGCUCCGAAAAAAAGAAAAAAAAAAAGAAAAAAAAAAAGAAAAAAAAAAGAAAAAAAAACUCAAUAUGAAACGAAUGAAAGACACAAGACCCAUAGUCAGAUAAUCUUAAACGUAACUGAGGUAAGUUGGAGGAGAGCCGGGGAGAUGCCUGAGUGAGCCAGGUGCUUACCCGGCAAGCUUGAGCUAGAGUCCAGAUCUGCACAAAGCCAACCAGGCAGGUGUGGCAGCCACCUGUAACCCCAACUCGGGAAGCAGACUAGAUUCCCAGAUCAAGCAGGCUUCCUCCUAGCCAGAAUUGGUGAGCUCAGGGUUCAUCAGGACAGCAUGCCUCAGUGAAUGAAGUGGGAGGCAUCCGAGGAAAGCAUCAACUUCAGGCCUGCACACCCAUGCAAACAUUUACACUGUACACAGUAGAUACCUAGAGGGACAUACCAAAUUAAAGAAUGAGAAGUCUUAUUGUAAAAAAGGUCAUUUCUCCCCAGUAUCAGCUACAGACCUGGUACAAACAUGCAGUUUAACCCUCAAUUGUUUUGCUUUUUUUUUUUUUAAAUCAUUGAUCACAAAAGUUGACAAGCUGGGCUUCUGUUUCCCAUUUGGCAAGACUAGCUCUCCCUUGGGUCACACCUCAAACUCCGGGAGAUAUAACAUUUGCCCAGCUUUCCAGAGCACGACCUCGGGUUCAGGUUCUAGGAAGGAGCCAGCACUUGUCUGGGGAGCCACUAAGGUCAGAGCAUGCUCCAGGUCACUUAGGAAGAAAGAAACUCCAAAUUGCUGGAUGUCAAAGCCAGAUGUCACCCCUCUCCAGAAGGUGCAGGGCAUCCUAGAAAAGAAAAGGCUUGCGAAGGGGAGAUAAAGUCAGGCUUACGAGUGCUGUCUCCAUCUCCAGUUGGACUCUGAGCCAUAUACUGGGGAGAUUCCAAACAGCACAGCUCAGAAUAAGAUAUGAACAGCUGUCCCAGUGACAGAUGAGGACUUGGGUCUCAGUCCCACAAGUCAGCCAUCAGCUGACAAAACACUGUCACAAUGUACAGGCCACAACCACGUUUAAAAAGAUUAACGUUUUAAAAAAUUGAAGCUAUACGUGGUGGUUCAUACCUUUAAUCCCAGCACUCAGAGACAGAGGCAAGUAGAUUACUAGGAGUUUGAGGCCAGCCAGGUCUAUAUAGUGAAACUUUGUUUCAAAAAGACAAAGGAAUAAAUAUAUUUUUUUUAAUUCUAAAAGUAAACAAACUCAUAAUCCAGUGCUGGGGAAUUGGAGACAGGAAGAUCCUUGGGGCUCACGGGCCAGUCAGCCUAGCUUAAGAUGUUUUAGAUGAUGGAGAGACCCUGUCUUAGAAAGACAAAGGCUGGGUUGGAGAGAUGGCUCAGUGGUUAAGAGCACUGACUGCUCUUCCAGAGGUCCUGAGUUCAAAUCCCAGUAAUGUGUUCUGGUGUGCCUGAAGACAGUUACAGUGUACUUAUAUAUAAUAAAUAAAAUAAAUCUUUUUUAAAAAAGUGUGUCCUGCCACAGGAUGGAGAUGCCAUAUUAAAAAAAAAAAAAAAGGAAGAAAGAAAGACAGACAAAGGCUGAAAGAAGUCAGUGGGUACAAGUGCAUGCUAUGUGGGCAUGAGACUCUGUGUUUGGAUCCCAGCAGCCAUGUAAAAAGGUCAGGCAUGGGGUUGGGGAUUUAGCUCAGUGGUAGAGCGCUUGCCUAGGAAGCGCAAGGCCCUGGGUUCGGUCCCCAGCUCCGAAAAAAAGAACCAAAAAAAAAAAAAGGUCAGGCAUGUCCCCAUGCACACCUGUGCUGCAGUGCUCUGAGGGACACAGACAAGAUGGCCUGUGACCUCCCAUACUAGAUCUGGGUCCAAACAAAGUCCUCCUCUGGCCUCUGCACACCUGGGCAUGUAAGUGUGCAUAUCAUAAACACAUGCGUGUCUCCAUGCAUGCAAAGAAAUUGUCCUGAAGUUGCCCUCUGGCCUGCAUGUGUAUUUACACACACACACACACACACACACACACACACACACACACACGUGAACAUGCUCCUCUGCACACAUUUUUUUAAUAUUAUUUAAAAGCUAGACAGUACCUGAGGAACACCUGGAGUUGUCCUCUGUCAUACCCCUUCACAAAUAUGAACACAAUUAAAAUCGAAGUAUAAAAGGACUGCUAAACCAAUAUCUGGCAUAAAAAAAAAGUAGGCUUUCAACUAAUGAAAGGUUUUUUUCACAACAUAAGUAGAAACUAUUGUAAGUUUAUAUUCUGGAACUGAGAUAAAACUCAAUGAUUAGACCAUGUAUUGAUAGAACUCAUCUAAUCUGAAAAGGAGAGAUAAGCAGUUGGGGCAGUAUGACCAUGUCUAUGUGUGCAUUGCUGUGUGACAGUGUUUAUGUAUGCAUUACUGAGUGAUUAUGUGCACAUUGCAGUGUCACAGUGUCUAUGUGUGCAUUGCUGUGUGGCAGUGUCUGUGUGCAUUACUGUGUAACAAUGUCUAUGUGUGACAGUGUCUAUGUGUUCGUUACUAGAAUUACAGAGAAAACAGGAGAAGGAGAUAGCCCUGAAGGGAAUCAUGGCUGGAAUUCUGUCUAAUGAGAGAUAUACACUUACAUUUUUAUAAAGUUCUCCGAACUCCCACAAGAAUAAACUCACAGGAAACUAGAGGUAAGUGUAAUAUGCUGAACUGUGUACCUGAUCUACAUACCAAGUGCCAGGCCACUGAAGACUGCACAAUGAGACCUACCUCAAAAGAACAAAACUAAAGUGUUAGAAAGAUACCUGUUGGCCAAUUUAGAUAUAUCAGACCUUGGAAGAGUGAGAGUAAAGUUGCCCCUGGUGGCACUGACCUGGAAUCCCAGUUUAAUCCAGCUCAGGCAGGGAGUCUAUAGGUUUAAGCCUGACCAACUUAGUAAGACUCUAUCAAAAUAAAAGACAAGUGUGGGGCUGUGAACAAAGCUCAGUGUGAAGCACUCACCCCACGUGUUCCAUCCCCAAUACGGGGGGCGGGGAGGGGGGAGAAUGAGGCUAAGUCACCACCAGCAGACCCCCCAAAUACUCCAGGAAACUGUUUAGACACAAAUGAUUAAGUCUCAGAAAUGCUGAAUAUUAGAAUAAGCAAAAAUGACACUUUUUCUCCUCACUUUUUUGAAACGCACUUGCCUUUUUAAAGCAAAAUCAGCAGCAGCAAAUUAUGGCAAUUUUGCAGUGAUGACAUGAACACCUAAAAUAAAAAGGGGUCCUUCCAUACACCUCUGUCGCCAGCCUGAAGAAACCCACCCACUUUCGAACUUCCCUUUGAGUAAAGCUAGAUCCUGGACUGUCAGUGCAGAAAAGGAAGUCAGGGCCAUGUAGCUUCUGAUGAAGCAAAGUUAUCGGGUGUAGGUUUCAUUAAGUAUUUAGACCCAGAGACACGUAGGAAAAAGGACUGUACACACCAAACAUAUGGCUGCAGGCUUCUACAGUUGCAUUCCUCUCUGUGUGUGUGUGUGUGUGUGUGUGUGUGUGUGUGUGUGUGUGUGUGUGUUACACAUGCCACAGUGCACAUGUGAAGGUCAGAGGACAUCUUGUGAUCCUUCCCACCUAGUGGGUUCCCAAGACAGAACACAUUCGGAGAGAGAGAGAGAAGGCAAAAUGUAAUGAAGAAUGUUUUAAAAUCUGUUUUCAGAGCUGGAGAGGUAGCUCAGCCGUAAAGAACACAUCCUGGGCUUGCAGAGGACUAGAGUUCAGCUCCCAGCACCUAAGUUGGGUGGGUGGUUCACAACCUUCUAUAACUCCAGCUCCAGGGGCUUCUGGCCUACCUGGUUACCUGCACACGCAUCCACAUAUGGAAGUAAAGUGGAAUAUUUCUUUUUUUUUUUCUUUUUCUUUUUUUCGGAGCUGGGGACCGAACCCAGGGCCUUGGGCUUGCUAGGCAAGCGCUCUACCACUGAGCUAAAUCCCCAACCCCGGAAUAUUUCUUGAAAGGCAAUAUCAUGAGACGUGCUGCUUAGACUUAGGGACUAGGGGAGCGUUAGCCGUUAAGCUGCGGGUCACACACACUUCUCACCCAGUGGAAACACGGUCUGCUGUUUUUGUCAUGGUUAAGAUGUCUCUAGGACAGGCACUAUCGCUGCAGUUUGUAAGAUCUCUCUCUCUCUCUCUCCCCGUGUGUGUGUGUGUGUGUGUGUGUGUGUGUGUGUGUGUGUGUGUGUUCGCUUAUGUGUGCUUCUGCUCGAGCGUGUGCAUGUGCGUAGGUUGGGGGGGCUCUUUUUCUGUAGCAUCUGUGUGAGGUCAGGACAAUCUCAGGGUCUGUCUUCCCUAUUCACAGUUUUUGUUGUUUGCUGCUCUGUGUGAGGUUCCAUGGAUUCUCCUGUCUCCACCUCAGCACGGGAACACUGGGAUCGUACACAUUCUCAGCGUGGGAGCACAGAGAUUGCAGAUGCACACAUUACCAAGUCUGACUUCACUGGGUUCUGGAGUUUUAAACCCAGGUCCUCUUGCCUACGUGUUUCAUCUACUUAACCACCUUAUAGGCCCUUUUAUGCCUGUCGGAUUCCAAUAAACCCACGUCUAGUCCAGCAACUGGACAUAUACCCAACAGACAUGCAUUUUUCACACCCUGAUAGCCACACACUGGGAACAGCCCAGGUCUCUGCCAGCAGUAAAGACAGUGGAGAAACUGUCUGCUCAGCCUGUGGUGAGGGGUUUCCUUCUCCUAAAGAUCAUUUGUGUGUACAGUUUUGACUGUGUAAGUACAGUUCUCAGUGUGUUUGUGAGUACAGUUCUCAGUGUGUUUGUGAGUACAGUUUUGAGUUUGUGAGUGAAGUUUUGAGUUUAUGAGUGCAGUUUUGAAUGUGUGAGUGAAGUUUUCAGUGUGUUUGUGUAUACACUUUUCAGUGUGUUACUGUUGGAUGAAAGUCACUGUAGGCUGCAGCUCUUCUGUGCAAACUGGAAAAGUCAAGAGCUGGAAAGUCAAGAAUAAAUUCAUUUUGUAGGAAGCAGAAACCUGAGCCCUGAGAUGAAACUGGCCUUUGGCCUCCAGAAAACAGAAGGCUAUGACCCAACCCGAAGCUUCAGGAUUUGUGGCCCACAAACUACUCUCCUCAGUGGUACAAAUGUGUGUCAGUGGACAAAGUACCCACUACAAAAGUGCAAGAUCCUGACCUUGAACCCCUAACACCCAUUUAAAAGCCAGUGAUGGAUACAGAGUAGAGUCAGGCAAAUACCAGGGGUUCACUGCAAGCCAGGCUCAAUGACAAAGCCUAUCUCAAACAUGAGGCAGAAGGUCGGAGAGAUGCUUCAGUGGUUCAGAUCACUGGCUGCUCUGUCAGAUGACCCACGUUCAGUUACUGCACCCAUGUCAGAUGACUCACAACCACCUGUAACUCCAUCUCCAGAGGAUCUGACAUUCGUCUGGCCUCUUUAGGCAUCUGCACAUACAAUGAGACACACACAUACAUAAUGAAACAUAAAAAAACCCUUAAAAUAUAGUAUAUACACAAUAGAAUGUUCUUCAGCAUUAUGAAAAAAAGAAAUUCUGUGAGUGUAACAACAUAGGUGAGUCUGAAGUGUGUCACGCUAGCUGACAAUAUACCAAACACAAAAGGACAAAAACCACACAGUCUCACAUAGAUAUGUAAUGUAAAGACAAUCAAAAAGGUAAGUGAGGACCGUGGAGGAAUUUCCAGCACCUGGGAGUGAGAAGGGACUGAGAGCAGAACAGCCAGCUAGAGCAGAAUCCACCUAGGCAGGAGGUGUGAGUCCUGGUGACCUGUGACCAGGAUGGUGACCACAGUGAUGACCAAACCACAGGCCAGACAUGGUGGUCUGUCCCUGUGGUCCCAGCACUGAAGUACAGAAAUCCAUUAAUUCUAGAGCUUACAUGAGAGCAAAGAACCAGAAUAGCCCCACACAGUCUUAAAAAUGCAGAGGAGUAAAAACUCAGGGUCCUAGAAAGAAAGAUCCUCCUCUGUAGCCAGUGGGCCACCAAUGGGAGGAAACUGUUCUCAACAGACAGGGCUAGACUGGACACACUGUGCAGAGACUGCAACCCACCCUACUUUACAAUUCUAACAAGAUUCUUGCAAACCAGAUCCUGGAAAAGCAAAAACAUAAACAUUCUAAAAGAAAACUCAAAAAGAAAACCCUUGUGCUUUGAAUUAGGCAUAACCAACCCAGAAGGAAAUCAGUAAACAGGACAGAGUCGAAAACUCUGAGGCAUAUGGGAAGUCAGUACAGAGGAAAUACAGGCUAAGUAUUGCUAAAACCAUUCUACCUGUCAAAGAACUUGAUUUAUAGUAGUACAUUUAAACAACUCUUACUAAAUCCAACCAGCAGAUUUUUUUAGAACAGUGGCCAAAGAUUGAAACCAGUACUUCACAAAAGAUGAGUCAAGCACAUGAAAAGAUACUGCACACCUUUGGUCUGCAAGGAAACCAAAUUAAGACCACAGUACAACAGCACUCACUACACACCCACCAGGGCCAACAUUAGAGGACCCCACCCACACCUCCCAAAGGAUGAGGAGAUCCAAUCACACCCACUUGGGGAAGGUCCAGAUCUCAAACAACUUGGAGACCUCCUAAAUGGCUAAACAAGCACUUCUCACACACUCCUAAUCCCUCUCCCAGAUGGCAGUCCAAGAAAGGGAGACCAUUUCUACUAAAGCAUCUACAGGGAAUGUUCCUGAGAGAGGAAAGCUGGAUGUGAUGAUUGAUCUUGGUCGGGAACCACAUCUGGGGUCACCUGAAACAGCAUCUGCUGUUUGCCUGCUUGCCCUCACCCUCUCUCCUGUUGCUCAAGCAUUCCUUAGGGUAUUGGAACCUACUUCUUCAGGAUUCCAAUGUAGACUGAAGACCAGCAGCUCUCUGGAAUCCUCUGGGACUCCAGCACCAGAGUGGGGCUGCUGAGACAUCCAGACUCAUGAACUGAACUAUGGGAUUCACAGCCUUUCCGUCAUGAGGCAACCAUCAUUGGAUAACCCUGACCACGGAAAGGCAGUAUAAUAAAUCAUAUAUAUGUGAAUAUAUAUAUUAUACCUACACACAUAUUCAAUCAAUUCUGUUCCCUUAGAGAAACCUAAGGAAAUUCAUAUGUAUCCCUCUGUGUGUGUGUGUGUGUGUGUGUGUGUGUGUGUGUGUGUGUGUGUGUGUGUAUUUAAUUCUGGGGGUUCUUCACCCCUUUAUGCCCAGAUAGUGAUGGCAUUUCUACAGACUCUUGACCAUUUGGUUUAGCUCCCCAAUAAAUGGCACAGAGAUCUAAUCAAUUUAUUAACAAGCUGCAGGCACUAUGCUGGCCAGAUAUCCAUCUGUUAUAAUGGGGCUGUGAUGGCUGCUUCCUCUUCCCAGCCCCAUGGCAUUGUCUGCCAUCUCUGUCUUGCCCUGGCUGUUCUACUCCAACAGUUCUCCCCCAGUGAAGAACCCUCUGGUUCCUUCUCUUUCUUCUUCUCUCCUCUGUUUGCUUGGGACCCCCUGACUUCGAUCAGAAGUCCCCCCCCCAUUCUCUUCUGCCCAGCGAUAGGCUGAAUCAGCUCUUUCUUAGCCAAUUAGAGGUGAUAGAAAAGAAUUUUUACACAUCACUGAGACAGGAGACACUCCAGAUAUCAUGACAAUGCCAACGUCCUGGGCACCGCAAUCAGCAUCUGAAUACACAGUGCAGGAAAACAUCCCCCAACCGAACCCCAGGGAUGGCAAGCAUAAGAGACGAUCAUCUGGUUAAUUAACCUCACUCAAUCAUUGUGACCUCCUAAGAACAUGCAAUUAUUAUUUGACGAUUAAAAAUACAAUAAUAGAAUUUUAGAUGCUCAACACGGCCCAGGUUUUGUCCUUCCCUUGUAUGGGAGCAGGGGAUCAAAUACCAGACCUUACCGGGUCUAAUGGCCCUACCGCUGAGGCUAACUGCCACCAUGAGGGUGAUAAACUCUCUGUACAUUUAUCACAGUUUUAUAUUGUGGAGGGCUGCGUAUGUGUGGGAUGUGAGCCUGGCUGAAUGUGCACCUGUGGGCGUUAGCGAGUUGAGGUCCAAUGUUGACAACAGGUGCCUAUCCUCGAUCGUUGUCUACAUUUGUUUUUAUUUCUCUUAGAUACACUUUAUAGUACGUAUACAGGUGUUUUGCCUGCAUCUAUAUCUGGGUACCACGUGCAUGCCUGGUGGCCAUAGAGGUAAGGAGAGAGCACUGACUCCCUGGAGCCAGAGUUAUACACGGUUGUGAGCUAACACCUAUGUACUAGGAAUCAACCUGGGCCGUCUGCAAGAACAAGUGCUCCUAACCACUGAGCCAUCUCUCCACCCCUCCACUUUUGUUUGUUUGUUUCUGAGAAAGUGAUUCUCACUAAACCUGAUGGCACCUCUUUGAGCGGGGAAGGCUGGCCAGCCAGUGAGCUUAAGUGGUCUAACUUUUUUCUCCACCCCACACUAGGAUUACAGACACUAGCCACUUUGCCAGGCAGACCCCCCUGCUCCUCCAGAUUCGACCCCCCAUCCUCAUCCCUAGUUUUGUAACAGACCCUCUGCUCACUUUCUACUGCCAUUCCCAGGGGACUAAGCAGAUCCUGAUUCCCUCCCUCCUGAGGACCCCCUCAGUGUCCCCCUGAUCCCAUCCCUAUUCCUAAAUGUCAGCAAACAUACAAGCACAUUUUACAUGGAAUCCCCAUUGGCAACACCUCUAAGGAUCCCAGAAGAAUUUCCUACCAAGCAACACACAGCCAUCACACUCUCCUAAGACAAAGUGGUCAACAGAAACCAAGAAACAGGGACUGGAGAGAUGGCUCAGCGGUUAAGAGCACUGACUGCUCUUCCAGAGGUCCUGAGUUCAAUUCCCAGCAACCACAUGGUGGCUCACAUCCAUCUGUAAUGGGAUCUGAUGCCCUCUUCUGGUGUGUCUAAAAACAGCUACGGUGUACUGUAAUAAAAUAAAUAAAAUAAAAUAUUUUAAAAAAAGAAAGAAAAGAAACCAAGAAACAGACAAACAACAACAACAAAAACACCCAACAAAGACUAGAUGUCAGUAACCAGAAUUACAUUCAUCCCAACACCAGAUGCCCAGCUGCCAGCAAAAAAACUUAAUCUACAAUUACGAGGACACCAUGUCUCUGCAGACCCUGAGUACUCUAACAUAGCUGAAACACGAGAAAAAGACCUUAAAAUAGCCUUUAUGACUAUGACAGAGGUCCUUAAAGAGAGAAUAAAUCCUUUAAAGAAAUCUAUGAGAACAAAACCUGUGGAAGGAAAUGAAUUAAAACUGUUUAAGACCCAGAAGUGGAAAUAGAAUCAAUAAAGAAAACCCUAACUGAGAGAAAUCUGGAAAUGAAAAUAUAUCCAACCUAAAGAAGAAAGUGCCUAUCACAAAGCUCAGGAACCAUACAGAAUACCAAAUAACUGGAUGGGGUAAGGGGGAAGAAAGCCCCCUUGGCACAUAAUAAUCAAAACACUAAACACAUAGAAGAAAUAAAAUAUUAAGUGCUUAAAGGUAAAUAGAACAAGUAGUUUAUAAAAGUAGGACCCAGGCAGAAGUUUUUAAAACUCUUAAGAGACCACAGAUGCCAGGCCUGACUACUAUACCCAGCAAAACUUUCCAUCACAACGAAUGGCGAAAAUAAGAAAAGCCAAAUUUAAGCAAUAUCUGCCCACAAAUCUAGCCCUAUAGAAGGUUGUAGAAAGAACAACAACCACACCCAAGAAAACACAAAAAAAUAAACGGGGAAAUCAAGAGGGGAAACCAUACACACCAUACACACACACACACACACACACACACACACACACACACACACACACACCAAUGAGGAUCAACAAACACUGCUCACUGAUAUCUCUAAAUAUCAAUGGUCUUUCCACAAUUAAAAAACGAAAGUGAAGGGGCUGGGGAUUUAGCUCAGUGGUAGAGCGCUUACCUAGGAAGCGCAAGGCCCUGGGUUCGGUCCCCAGCUCCGAAAAAAAGAACCAAAAAAAAAAAAAAAAAAAAAAACGAAAGUGAAAAGCUAACCUAUGGAUGUGAAAAUAGGAGCCAUUCUGCUGCAUCCAAGAAACACACCUUAACAUCAAGGGUAGACAUCACUUCAGGGUAAAGGAGUUGGAAGGAUAUUCCAAGCAAAUGUACCCAAGAAGCAAGCAGAUGUAGCCAUUUUAAUAUCUGAUGAAAUACACUUUAAACCAAAACUAAUCAGAAAAGACAGGGAAGGAUACUAUAUACUCAUUAAAGGAAAAAUCCACCGAAAGGACAUUUCUAUUCUUUUGUUUGGUUGUUGGCUGGUUUUGUUGAGACAGGCUUUUUUCUGUAUAGCCCCUGACUGUCCUGAAACUCAUUCUGUAGACCAAGGUAUCCUUGAACUCACAGAGGUCUGCCUGCCUCUGACUCAUGAGUCUUGGGAUUAAAGGUAUAUGCCACCACCCAUCUUGUAUUUUAAUUCUUUUUUUUUUUUUGGUUCUUUUUUUUCGGAGCUGGGGACCGAACCCAGGGCCUUGCACUUCCUAGGCAAGCACUCUACCACUGAGCUAAAUCCCCAACCCCCUUGUAUUUUAAUUCUUAACAUCUAUGCAUCAAACACAAAGGCAGCCAAGUUCAAAAAACAAAACAAACAAAAUACCCCACUACUCCAGCUUAAAUCACAUAUUGACCCUUACACAUUAAUAGUGGGAGACUUCAAUGUCCCACUCUCACCAGUAGACAGAUCAUCCAGACGAAAGCUAAACAGAAAUGCUGAAGCUAGCAAACGUUAUAAACCAAAUGAACCUAAUGAAUAUUUAUAGAACAUUUCACCCAAACACAAAAGAUGAUCCCAGUUCUUCUUAGGACCUCAUGGAACUUUCUCCAAAGCUGACCACAUACUGGAUAGAAAGCAAGUCUCAAUAGAUAGUAGGAAAUUGAAAUACCCUCCUGCACCC